AGCUAAAGGGAUACACACAACAUAUUAAAUAGAGACGUUUAAAAUUAUUGGUUUCCAUUUUAUAAAUGGCUUCUUGCAACACAUAAGUGCUAAAAACUAUUUAAUUUAAGCUAACAAAUCAUGAAAUAUUUACUUAUAAAAUAACCAAAAAAGUCUAUUUGUUACAUGCAAAGGAGGUAAAAUAUGGCUCAAAAUCUUGUAUUUUUUUAUGCUUUAACCAUCUUUCUAUCUCAAUUGCUUGUUGCAGCUUCCUCUCUAUGUAUUAGUGACGAAGAUUGUCCGGAGGCGUUACCUCUUAUGUUUGUAAAAUGUGUUUGUGGUGCUUGUGAAUACUAUACACAAAUUCAAGAUGAAAAAUAAUUGUAUUUCUUUCAACAUAAAGAGGAACAGUUUCAUUCUUUAGGCGAAAAAUUUAAGCAUCACCAUUUUAGUGGUUUUAAUCGAAAUAUGAUCGGUUCGAUUUUGACUACAACGUUUGGAGGCUUAAUCUCAUUCCUUGCCUAAGUGUUGUAACUUGGCUUAUCUUUUCUUUUUCUUGUUGGUUGGUUGUUAUGUUUUCAUGGUGUAACAGGGUAACAUUUUUUAAUCUUCUUAGGCAUGUCUUGUGCGGGAAGAAUUUUUUUUCUCUCGUUUGAUUGAUAUCAUAAAUCCACAUAAAAAAUGAGAUUUUUUUUGUCAUAA